GUGCUCGCUUUGGCAGUGCAUAUACUAAAAUUGGAACAAUACAGAAAAGAUUAGCAUGGCCCUGCACAAGGACACGCACAUUUGUGAAGCAUUCCAAAUUAAA